GACGAAGGGUGCUAGCGUUGUUCGGAAUCACUGGGCGUAAAGGGCGCGUAGGCGGCCUCAGGUGUCGGAUGUGAAAGCCCGGGGCUCAACCCCGGAGGUGCAUCCGAAACUCUGGGGCUGGAGGUCGGAAGAGGAGGGUGGAAUACCCAGUGUAGAGGUGAAAUUCGUAGAUAUUGGGUGGAACACCGGUGGCGAAAGCGGCUCUCUGGUCCGGACCUGACGCUGAGGCGCGAAAGCGUGGGGAGCAAACAGG
rnacentral:rRNA from 1 species